rnacentral:lncRNA from 1 species
GCGCGCCGCGGAUCUGCUGUGAUCGCGCUCCGUUCACGCGCUCUUCCAUUUUAUUACAGGGAACGCGCUUUAAGAAGAGUCAAAAUCACGGUCUGGAAGUUGAUCGAGUUCAUCUGGAAAGACGCAAGAUCGAUAAUAAACACAACACAAUCAGAUGUGAACAUUAGAAAUCGACUUCCAGCGACUGUUUGCUUCAUAAAAGCCAAUUUCAUGAGACGAGGAGAAAACCACCGCGUAAAACAGCGUCCAUGUGUUUAACAUGCGCUGUCUGAAUUAAGAUAUGUGCAUUAAGCUGCAGGAACGACAGACAGACAGACUGACGGUAAUGUGAUCAUCUACCAGAGGAGCUCCAGAUAUCAGCAGUCCCGCCUCGGGUUGACGGAGGCCGCGUGUCCCGCCCUGACCCCGGCGAGGAGGAUCGGCUCAGCGCUGAAUGACGAGCCACAGACACUCGACGAGCCUCAACGCAUUCAAAUCAAUCAGCCCGGUGUGACGUCAUCGGACACGUGACCGGAGCGGGCCGCUGGAGGUGUAUGAUCUGAGAUCAGAGCGUCAGCUUCUUGAUGCUCGUCUCUGUAUAGAUGCAACAUCUGUGUUUCAUUGGUGCUGGAGUAAUGAUAAACACACUCGCACAGCUGAUCCAAAAGCCACAGUUCGCACGGAUGGAGGUGAGUGCUGGAUAUAUUACUGUUAAAACACCUCUGGAUUUAUUUCUUCAGGCCCUGAAACCCCAGAGAGGCCGACCCUCCACU